AGCAGUAAAUGAUAGGAUCCAGAACACAGUUGGCACCCAGGAGGAAGAGGGUUAUUUGAAGGAAGUGAAAGAUCUGUACAGAAAAGCAACGCAGAAGAUGAUUCACGCCUGUGCCUUGAGAAAUGCUGCUCAGUUGACACAAGCCACACAGUGAAUUGGCCAGUAUGUCAAUGUGAUGUACGCAUUGUUCAUGUUUCCUUUUCCUUGAAAGUAACUGAAAUGGACUCUUGCUUAACUUAACUUUAAAACCACUCAGUUUAACAA